rnacentral:rRNA from 1 species
UGGCUUAGGAUUAACGCUGGCGGCAUGCCUAAUACAUGCAAGUCGAAUGGGGAGCUUGCUUCCCAUGGCGAACGGGUGAGUAAUACGUAGGUAACCUACCUUUAGGACGAGGAUAACCUUUGGAAACGAAGGAUAAUACUGGAUAGUAUAGAUUUCCGCAUGGAGAUAUAUUUAAAGAUUUAUCACCUAGAGAGGGGCCUGCGGUGCAUUAGCUAGUUGGCGGGAUAAAAGCCCACCAAGGCGAUGAUGCAUAGCCGGACUGAGAGGUUGUACGGCCACAAUGGAACUGAGAACGGUCCAUACUCCUACGGGAGGCAGCAGUAGGGAAUUUUCGGCAAUGGGCGGAAGCCUGACCGAAGCAAUGCCGCGUGAAUGAUGAAGUAUUUCGGUAUGUAAAGUUCUUUUAUCUAGGAAGAAAAAACAAAUUGACGGUACUAGAUGAAUAAGCUCCGGCUAACUACGUGCCAGCCGCGGC